rnacentral:rRNA from 1 species
UACAGAGGGGGCAAGCGUUAUUCGGAAUUAUUGGACGUAAAGGGCGCGUAGGCGACUUUGCAAGUGACGAGUGAAAUCCCUCGGCUUAACCGAGGAACUGCCUGUCAAACUGCAUGGCUUGAGACCGGGAGAGGUGAGUGGAAUUCCCAGUGUAGCGGUGAAAUGCGUAGAUAUCUGGAGGAACACCGGUGGCGAAGGCGGCAUCCUGGACCGGCAUUGACGCUGAGGCGCGAAAGCUAGGGGAGCAAACGGG